rnacentral:rRNA from 1 species
UAGAAGUGAGAAUGCCGGAAUGAGUAGCGCGAAUGCAGUGAGAAUCUGCAUGGCCGAAAGCCUCAGGUUUCUGGAGGAAGGUUCGUCCGCUCCAGGUUAGUCGGGAGCUAAGGUGAGGCCUAACGGCGUAGCCGAUGCACAGACGGUAGAGAUUCCGUCACCACCAAAAGAGUUAAACACAGGGACACAUUUGAAGUCUCGGAGCCGGGUGUUGGUUCCGGUAGCGAUCGAGGGAAAUUAGUACCGAAGUCCGGGAUGGAAGAUGGCGAGAAAAGCUGUGUGUAUUUCUGCGGUGCCCGUACCGCAAACCGACACAGGUAGGUAGGAAGAAGAUUCUAAGGCCAACGGGAGAAGGGUUGUUAAGGAACUCGGCAAAUUGACCCCGUAACUUCGGGAGAAGGGGUGCUCCAGAGAUGGAGCCGCAGAGAAUCGGCCCAAGCAACUGUUUACCAAAAACACAGGUUUGUGCUGAAUCGAAAGAUGACGUAUACGAGCUGACGCCUGCCCGGUGCUGGAAGGUUAAGAGGAGAUGUGCAAGCAUUGAAUCGAAGCCCCAGUGAACGGCGGCCGUAACAAUAACGGUCCUAAGGUAGCGAAAUUCCUUGUCAGGUAAGUUCUGACCCGCAUGAAAGGCGUAAUGAUUUGGGCACUGUCUCGACAGCCCGCCCGGCGAAAUUGUAGUACCGGUGAAGAUGCCGGUUACCCGCGACAAGACGGAAAGACCCCAUGGAGCUUUACUGUAGCCUAAUAUUGGGUUUCGAUGUUGCAUGCACAGGAUAGAUGGGACACUAGGAAGCAAGUGCUUUGGCAUUUGUGGAGUGGCCGUUGGGAUACCAUCCUUGCGAUAUUGGAAUUCUAACCUGCGCCUUUGAAUCAAGGCGGGGGACAUUGUUAGGUGGGCAGUUUGACUGGGGCGGUCGCCUCCUAAAGAGUAACGGAGGCGUUCAAAGGUUCGCUCAGCUUGAACGGAAAUCAAGCAAAAGAGUGCAAACGCAGAAGCGAGCCUAACUGCGAGACUGACGGGUCGAGCAGUAACGAAAGUUGGAGUUAGUGAUCCGGUGGUAUGUGAGUGGAAAUGCCAUCGCUCAACGGAUAAAAGUUACCCUGGGGAUAACAGGCUGAUCUCCCCCAAGAGUCCACAUCGACGGGGAGGUUUGGCACCUCGAUGUCGGCUCAUCGCAUCCUGGGGCUGUAUUCGGUCCCAAGGGUUUGGCUGUUCGCCAAUUAAAGCGGUACGCGAGCUGGGUUCAGAACGUCGUGAGACAGUUCGGUCCCUAUCUGUCGUGGGCGCAGGAUAUUUGAUGGGAGCUGUUCCUAGUACGAGAGGACCGGAGCGGACGUACCUCUGGCGCACCAGUUGUUCUGCCAAGGGCAUAGCUGGGCAACUAUGUACGGAUCGGAUAAACGCUGAAAGCAUCUAAGCGUGAAGCCGACCCAAAGAUAAGAUAUCCCAUUGUUUUAAACAAGUAAGACCCCUUGAAGACUACAAGGUUGAUAGGCUUGAUGUGUAAGUGGAGUGAUCCAUUCAGCAAGCAUGUACUAAUAGGUCGAGGGCUUGAUC